UGUUUUAUUUAUUUAACUCAACCCAAGUUACAUUCGUAUGUCCCACAUGCCCGGCUGGCAUGUGAUUGUGUAUUUUCUUCUUUUUUUUUCUUUUUUUUUUAUUCAAGUUUGCAAUUUUCGUAAUAUCUUCCGUCCGGGCCCACACUUGGCAAAGCUUUGUUUCAUUUCUUUUUUUUUUUUUGAAAGGAAGCUUUGUUUCAUUUCACUCUGUAAAGUUUUCAUAAUUUUUACAGCCAUUUUUUUCGCGGUUUUUCAUCUCCACUCCCGGCGAUUCCAGCUCUAGGGUUUUGUUUCACAUUCUUCCUCUUCUUGUCCGGUGUUGCGAUUGUAGUUGAAAGAAUUUGUUUUUGCGGUUUUCGUCUUCGGCUCCGCGUUUGAAGGGUAGGAUUUGGAAGUUCUUUCGUCUCCCGCCGUUGCCUCCGGCGAUUUCGCCGACUCCCUAAACGACGAUGACGAGGAUGAAGAGAAGAAGUCGAAGGAGAUGAAGAGGUAUCCUCAUUGCCUCAUUUUUCUAGAGCUUCUGCAGAAUGCAAGCUUCAGAAACGCAAUGGCACAUCCCUUAAACAAGAGGUGAACCUUUGGCUGUUGAUUCAUAAUACUUCAUUCCACACAAUGUUGAAGGAUUGUUUUCAUGCUGCACUUGAUGCUUGCACCUUAAACCAUCUCGUGCCACUCUGUGCGACACAAAAAGCAGUUUCCCGAGGGCCAGUGAUCAUCCCAGCGAAGCAGAGGCUGAAAAGAGACCUAUUUAUGAUGCUUUUGCUGAGUCCUGUAAUUUCGACCAAAUUCUAUUGGCCGAAUCUGUGAAGCAGGAGCGGAACAGCUCUGAAUGCGCCUGCCCUGCUCCUGAUGAUGCAAUAAAGCGCAACUCAUCCUCUCAUGGCUUGCCGCCUGCACCUAUUGGUACCUCUGUAUCUUUCUAAGUGCUAGAGAAACGCCUUGGACCGUAAAGAUUGUUGCUAGACAGAGAAAGAGAGAUCAAGUUCUUGCAGCUUUUGAUGGAAUGAGGAAUGGUGUUUGAGACACAGAUUCUUGGCUGCUGAAGCACUAAAUCCAUUGAAACAAAGAUUCUUGCGAGGAUCAAGGUUCUUCUCUAUUUUGAGAAAUGGUGUUUGAGACGGAGAUUCUUAGCUGCUGAAGCACUGAAUCCAUUGAAACAAAGAUUAUCACUUAUCACCAAUGGUUGUAUGUAUUAUCUUAGGAUUGUGAUAGAUUGUGCAUUUAUCACUUAUCAUGUGCAUUUAUCACUAAUGAAAUUGGUUUUGUUUUAAGAAGAAAA